GUAGCAAUACGUGGCGCACGGCUCAGUAACACGUAGUCAACAUGCCCAGAGGACGUGGAUAACCUCGGGAAACUGAGUCUAAACCGCGAUAAGUGAGGAUUUCUGGAAUGGUUCCUGACUAAAAUCUAUAUGGCCCCUGGAUUGGACUGCGGCCGAUCAGGCUGUUGGUGAGGUAAUGGCCCGCCAAACCUGUAACCGGUACGGGCUCUGAGAGGAGGAGCCCGGAGAUGGGCACUGAGACAAGGGCCCAGGCCCUAUGGGGCGCAGCAGGCGCGAAACCUCUGCAAUAGGCGAAAGCCUGACAGGGUUACUCUGAGUGACUUUCGCUAAGAAAGUCUUUUGGCACCUCUAAAAAGGGUGCAGAAUAAGGGGUGGGCAAGUCUGGUGUCAGCCGCCGCGGUAAUACCAGCACCCCGAGUGGUCGGGACGAUUAUUGGGCCUAAAGCAUCCGUAGCCGGUUCUGCAAGUCCCCCGUUAAAUCCAGCUGCUCAACAGAUGGGCCGCGGAGGAUACUACAGAGCUAGGAGGCAGGAGAGGCAAGCGGUACUCAGUGGGUAGGGGUAAAAUCCGUUGAUCCAUUGAAGACCACCAGUGGCGAAGGCGGCUUGCCAGAAUGCGCUCGACGGUGAGGGAUGAAAGCUGGGGGAGCAAACCGGAUUAGAUACCCGGGUAGUCCCAGCUGU
rnacentral:rRNA from 1 species